rnacentral:tRNA from 2 species
GCGAGAGUGGCGGAAUUGGUAGACGCACUGGACUUAGAAUCCAGCGGUUUAUCCAUACGGGUUCAAGUCCCGUCUCUCGCACCA